GCGCCCGUAGCUCAAGGGACAGAGCAGCGGACUUCUAAUCCGCAGGUUGCAGGUUCGAAUCCUGCCGGGCGUACCU
rnacentral:tRNA from 1 species